CUCAGGUGUUGUUCCACCCAGGUUCCUUUAGGUGUGGGUUUCCGCCCACCUCCCCAGGGGAAUUUUGGGAGGGUAAAUAACCGGUUCUGUCUUCAUUCCUGUGAACCUUUUACCUGUUUUCCAGAGUUCAGCCCUGGACCAGACUCAUUGUCCUCCCUGAUGACUUGACGUCUCUGUCUGUCACCGAGACGCAGAUACAAAGACGACGCACAAUGAGACGCAGCACUGCCUCCGGUGGCCGCCUGGCAUCCUGACAGGGUCUCUUUCAAAGGUUACAUGUCAAUCCCAUCUGACAGCCGUGAUAAAGACUUUGGGAUCUGGGCAGGAAUCAAUGUUGUGAAACGGCACCAAGUUAUGCAAAACCGAGCAAUUAUUACAACUUGUUUCCUUGUUUUAAUGUUGUGACCUGACAGCAAAUGUACUGUUACUGAGCAUUACUUAUAAACACUGAAAAAGUACAGAGAGAGGAUGUUUUUUUUCUAAACUCUGGUGUGUUUCUGGGAGGUUAAAGUGUUAUUUUCCCUCAGUUUCAAUGGGAUACAGUAAAGUUCAUAUCUAGUCUGAACCUCUAAGUGUCCCCAAUGUGCCUUUCAAUGGGAAUAUUUGGAUUUGUUGGGUUUUCCAUGUACAAUUUUAUCGAAUAUGAACCAUUAUUGUAAAUAUACUAAAAUUUGGAAGGUUAAUCUUCUUCCUUUUUUUAGUUUGAAAAAGUUUUCAUAAAACAUUAGUCCUUUUACAUAGUCUCAGUAUUGCUGCAAGUGGAUUUACAUUCCGUACGACUAAAAUAAAAUAUACCGCAGUAUGUUGAUAACCCCUUGUAACUGGGUUUUUAUGGAAAACAUGAAAUUGCCUGGGUGACCCCAAACUUUUGAACGGUAGCAUAGAUGUAACAAUCAAGAUUCAUAUUUAAACCAUUAUCCUACUUCAUUAGUGUUAACCAAUCAGAAAUGAAUUGACUGAAAUAUUUCCAUUAUUUAUUAUAAACCCGGUCAUUUAAGGUUCCAUUAUUACUUCCAUUAUGUAUUCACAGUCUUGAUAGUGAAAAAUCAAGGUAUUAGUUCUUACCAAACAUCAGAUCUGAUGGUUUACACAACAGGACUGGACUUCUCUUUAGUUGCCACUGAGUUCCUGUUUAUCUGUCUGCUGUCUGCUUGUGUCUGGUUUCAUGUAAAUACCAUCAUUUGUUUAAAAUGUAAAAUCCAGCCCAUACAUUUGAGAUUCAAAGCUGGCUGAGGAGAGCUGCUGGAGACAGGAGGAGGAAGAUUUGCAUGAGUCAUGUGACAUUUCCAGACUUCACUGUGGACAGUUUUCUUGAUAUUUCAGUGGAGAUCCUGAAACCUCUGUGAGUAAAAUGGAAACUCUGAGCAGCUCUUUGGCUCCUUCUGUCACCUCAAACAUGAUAACAGCUCCAGAUCCUCGAAGACAGCGAAACCCUUCUUUAACAUUUCAUCCCUGAUUCACACUUUCCAGCUGUUUCCUAAAACCUGACGUGACUGAUUGUUGUUUAGUCUCCAUCAGGCUGCGGUCGGACUUUUCAGGAAAUUGGGAAAAACAGUUUUGUGUUGAUUCAGAAUCCUGUGGUUUGUGUUUACGGCUGUUUUCUGCCUCUGUUAGAUUUAAAUACAGCGGCCCACACACAGACACAGACCUGCUUUCAAACAUUAAAUGUAUUUAAAGUGACAGAAAAGAUAAAUGUUCUGGAUGUUUUUCUGUCAGCGGAGAUGAAUUCAUGUCAACAUGUUUUACUUUUGACUGAAUUUUCUUUGUUAGGUCAGGAGAAAACAUAGAUUAAUGCUAUAAACUCGCCCAACAAGUUCACAUAUUGAAGUGAAGACCUUAAAAUAUCACAAUUAUGUAAAAUGAUAAGAUUGCAAUAUUAUAUGAAAUACAGUAAGAUGAGAGUGAGGUGUUGGAUUAGUUGAGGCAUUUUACAGAUAUUUUGUACUUAUUUUCCAAAAAACCCUUUCACUAGUUUAAAAUACUGCAAAACUACAACCAUGAAGAGAAACUUGCAUAAUUUCCUGGUCAAUAGCUC
ensembl:lncRNA